rnacentral:rRNA from 1 species
ACGUGCCCUGUAGUGGGGGAUAACUAGUCGAAAGACUAGCUAAUACCGCAUACGACCUGAGGGUGAAAGUGGGGGACCGCAAGGCCUCAUGCUAUAGGAGCGGCCGAUGUCUGAUUAGCUAGUUGGUGGGGUAAAGGCCCACCAAGGCGACGAUCAGUAGCUGGUCUGAGAGGACGAUCAGCCACACUGGGACUGAGACACGGCCCAAACUCCUACGGGAGGCAGCAGUG